rnacentral:rRNA from 1 species
AACGAACGCUGGCGGCGUGCCUAACACAUGCAAGUCGAACGGAGAUAAGAAGCUUGCUUCUUAUUUUAGUGGCGCACGGGUGAGUAACGCGUGGAUAAUCUACCUGAUGCUCUGGGAUAACAUCUCGAAAGGGGUGCUAAUACCGGAUAAGCCCACGAUCUCUUCGGAGAAUGCGGGAAAAGGAGGGGACCUUCGGGCCUUCCGACGUCAGAUGAGUCCGCGUCCCAUUAGCUAGUUGGCGGGGUAAUGGCCCACCAAGGCUACGAUGGGUAGCUGGUCUGAGAGGAUGAUCAGCCACACUGGAACUGAGACACGGUCCAGACUCCUACGGGAGGCAGCAGUGGGGAAUUUUCGCAAUGGGGGAAACCCUGACGCAGCAACGCCGCGUGAGUGAUGAAGGCUUUCGGGUCGUAAAGCUCUGUCAGAAGGGAAGAAAUGUAGGUGGCUAAUAUCCAUUCUACUUGACGGUACCUUCAAAGGAAGCACCGGCUAACUCCGUGCCAGCAGCCGCCGCGGUAA